rfam:Chryseobacterium sp. IHB B 17019, complete genome.
AAGAGGUGGAGCUCAGAAACCACAUUAAUCAACGAGGCGACUCCGAAAAGCCAAACGAGUAGGAACACC